UACGAAGGGGGCUAGCGUUGCUCGGAAUCACUGGGCGUAAAGCGCACGUAGGCGGAUUGUUAAGUCAGGGGUGAAAUCCUGGAGCUCAACUCCAGAACUGCCUUUGAUACUGGCGAUCUUGAGUCCGGGAGAGGUGAGUGGAACUGCGAGUGUAGAGGUGAAAUUCGUAGAUAUUCGCAAGAACACCAGUGGCGAAGGCGGCUCACUGGCCCGGUACUGACGUUGAGGUGCGAAAGCGUGGGGAGCAAACAGG
rnacentral:rRNA from 1 species